CACCCCCCACACUUAGACUACACAUUGUCCCUAAUGUGUCCCAAAGAAAAGAUAAGAGGUUACUGAACUUCCUUAGAAUGGAGCAUCAGACUAGCUUGAGGGCCCACCUCCUCGUUGAAGCUCUAAAUGUAGUGUAGUUUUUCAAGGUAACUCAUUGCACAUAAGACAAAUAAAUAAAAGAAAAACAAAAACAACCACACCAAGCACAAAAUAAAA
rnacentral:lncRNA from 1 species